CGCACCGAUUUCCGGCCAAAUCGGAGCCAAAUUGAUUGCUGCUUCACCUCGCCGUCGUUCUCUGCUGUCUCCCAAAGCCCGUAGGUGAGGUAGCUCUGAAGUGUAGAUCGGAGUAUCAACAUCAACAACCAUUUCCUGCCAACUAUAAGGUUCAAGAAGACAUGGGACUUGAUUCUAUUGCUCUGAAGAGGAGGCUGAUAGCUGUUACUUUGGAGGCCCAUUCACCAGUUUGUGGACCUUUGGUAAUGUAACUUUUGGAUUGUGAGUCACAUGACUUUGUUCCUUUUGGUAUCAAUCGAGUAUGUAAGCUAACUUUUGCAAAUUGUAAUCGAAAAUGUAAUGUCAACAGAGUCACAUGUCAGGUUU